AGAGUUUGAUCCUGGCUCAGGACGAACGCUGGCGGCGUGCUAAUGCAUGCAAGUCGCACGCAGGGUGCUUGCACCCCUGAGUGGCGCACGGCUGAGGAACACGUGGGAAUCUGCCCGACCGUGGGGGAUAACUCGGCGAAAGCCGCGCUAAUCCCGCAUACGCUCGCAAGAGGAAAGCAGUGAUGCGCGGUCGGAGGAGCCUGCGGCCCAUCAGGUAGUUGGCGGGGUAACGGCCCACCAAGCCGCUGACGGGUAGCUGGUCUGUGAGGACAGACARCCAGACUGGGACUGAGACACGGCCCAGACUCCUACGGGAGGCAGCAGCAAGGAAUUUUCGUCAAUGGGCGCAAGCCUGAACGAKCAACGCCGCGUGGAGGACGACGGCCUUCGGGUUGUAAACUCCUUUUGCGGGGGACGACAUCGACUGUACCCCGCGAAUAAGGSUCGGCUAACUCUGUGCCAGCAGCCGCGGUAAGACAGAGAGCCAAGCGUUGUCCGGAUUGACUGGGCGUAAAGCGCACGCAGGCGGUCGUGCACGUGGGGUGUGAAACUGGCGGGCUUAACUUGCAGAGGCCACCUCAUACGGCCCGACUUGAGCCAUGCAGAGGUCCACGGAAUUGCCGGUGUAGUGGUGAAAUGCGUAGAGAUCGGCAGGAACACCCCAGGGGGAAACCAGUGGCCUGGGCAUGUACUGACGCUCAGGUGCGAAAGCGUGGGGAGCGAACCGGAUUAGAUACCCGGGUAGUCCACCGCGUAAACGAUGAAUACUCGGCA
rnacentral:rRNA from 1 species